rnacentral:tRNA from 1 species
AGGAUUUUAAGUUAAUUAAUUAAACUAUAAGCCUUCAAAGCUUAAAAAGUAAAUAAAGUCAAGUCUUG